rnacentral:tRNA from 1 species
GCGGGUAUAGUUUAGUGGCAAAACGAACGCUUCCCAAGCCUUAGAUACGGGUUCGAUUCCCGUUACCCGCU